AUGGCUUAUGUCUUUGCCCUGGCCAAGGACACAGAGAUGAGGCAGCAGCUCCUGGAGAAGUUAGAUGAAAAAUUUCUCAAGCCUGGUACAGGUACAUCUUUUGGUAGAUACUUGAUUCCAGGGGAACUGUCCUGGCCUGUGGUUAAAGCAUGAUUCCGGUGGGUUGGGAGUAGAGGCAGAUGGGAAUUUUAGGACAAAAUGUUUUGGGUUGGAAAAUUUGGGCUUAUCCAAAUCAAAACAUUUUGUGAGAUGUAGCUACCUUGCCAAGGCUUCUAUUGGGAGAGGUUUCUCAGAUACAUAGUAGAACAUCUUCACGCAUCUGAGAUCUGGUUCAAGUCUUUACUUUGGUGAUGCACACAGAG